AUGAACGCUGGCGGCGUGCCUAAUACCUGCAAGUCGAGCGAACAGAUGAGGAGCUUGCUCCUCUGACGUUAGCGGCGGACGGGUGAGUAACACGUGGAUAACCUACCUAUAAGACUGGGAUAACUUCGGGAAACCGGAGCUAAUACCGGAUAAUAUAUUGAACCGCAUGGUUCAAUAGUGAAAGACGGUUUUGCUGUCACUUAUAGAUGGAUCCGCGCCGCAUUAGCUAGUUGGUAAGGUAACGGCUUACCAAGGCAACGAUGCGUAGCCGACCUGAGAGGGUGAUCGGCCACACUGGAACUGAGACACGGUCCAGACUCCUACGGGAGGCAGCAGUAGGGAAUCUUCCGCAAUGGGCGAAAGCCUGACGGAGCAACGCCGCGUGAGUGAUGAAGGUCUUCGGAUCGUAAAACUCUGUUAUUAGGGAAGAACAAAUGUGUAUGUAACUAUGCACGUCUUGACGGUACCUAAUCAGAAAGCCACGGCUAACUACGUG
rnacentral:rRNA from 1 species